UACGUAGGAGGCGAGCGUUAUCCGGAUUUACUGGGCGUAAAGCGUCUGUAGGUGGUUUUGUGCGUUGGAUGCCAAAUCUCUGUGCUUAACGCAGAGCCGGUGUCCAAUACGGCAAAACUUGAGGGAACUAGAGGGUGAUGGAAUUCCCGGUGUAGCGGUGAAAUGCGUUGAUAUCCGGAGGAACGCCAAUGGCGAAGGCAGUCACCUGGGGUUUUCCUGACAAUGAGAGACGAAAGCGUGGGGAGCAAACAGG
rnacentral:rRNA from 1 species